rnacentral:tRNA from 1 species
GGGGUUGUAGCUCAGUGGUGGAGUGCUUGUCUAGCACAUGUUACUGAGUUCAAUCCUCAGCACCACCU